rnacentral:rRNA from 1 species
CUUUUUGCAUGUACCUUAUGAAUAAGGACCGGCUAAUUCCGUGCCAGCAGCCGCGGUAAUACGGAAGGUCCGGGCGUUAUCCGGAUUUAUUGGGUUUAAAGGGAGCGUAGGCCGGAGAUUAAGCGUGUUGUGAAAUGUAGACGCUCAACGUCUGCACUGCAGCGCGAACUGGUUUCCUUGAGUACGCACAAAGUGGGCGGAAUUCGUGGUGUAGCGGUGAAAUGCUUAGAUAUCACGAAGAACUCCGAUUGCGAAGGCAGCUCACUGGAGCGCAACUGACGCUGAAGCUCGAAAGUGCGGGUAUCGAACAGGAUUAGAUACCCUGGUAGUCCGCACGGUAAACGAUGGAUGCCCGCUGUUGGUCUGAAUAGGUCAGCGGCCAAGCGAAAGCAUUAAGCAUCCCACCUGGGGAGUACGCCGGCAACGGUGAAACUCAAAGGAAUUGACGGGGGCCCGCACAAGCGGAGGAACAUGUGGUUUAAUUCGAUGAUACGCGAGGAACCUUACCCGGGCUUGAAUUGCAGAGGAAGGAUUUGGAGACAAUGACGCCCUUCGGGGCCUCUGUGAAGGUGCUGCAUGGUUGUCGUCAGCUCGUGCCGUGAGGUGUCGGCUUAAGUGCCAUAACGAGCGCAACCCCUCUCCUUAGUUGCCAUCAGGUCAAGCUGGGCACUCUGGGGACACUGCCACCGUAAGGUGUGAGGAAGGUGGGGAUGACGUCAAAUCAGCACGGCCCUUACGUCCGGGGCUACACACGUGUUACAAUGGCAGGUACAGAGAGACGGUCCCUUGCAAAAUGGAUCAAAUCCUUAAAGCCUGUCUCAGUUCGGACUGGGGUCUGCAACCCGACCCCACGAAGCUGGAUUCGCUAGUAAUCGCGCAUCAGCCAUGGCGCGGUGAAUACGUUCCCGGGCCUUGUACACACCGCCCGUCAAGCCAUGAAAGCCGGGGGCGCCUAAAGUCCGUGACCGUAAGGAGCGGCCUAGGGCGAAACUGGUAAUUGGGGCUAAGUCGUAACAAGGUAGCCGUACCGGAAGGUGCGGCUGGAACACCUCCUUUCU